CAGUCCGGCAGUGGAGACACAUCAAAUUGCAAAUUUGAAAAGGCACCCCUAAAGGGUGCCCGGACU
rnacentral:tRNA from 1 species